GUCCACUUGACGAGUCCCAAAUAGGAUGAAACACGCGUCCUGCAU
rnacentral:hammerhead_ribozyme from 1 species